UACGUAGGGUGCGAGCGUUGUCCGGAAUUAUUGGGCGUAAAGGGCUCGUAGGCGGUUUGUCGCGUCGGGAGUGAAAUCCACUGGCUUAACUGGUGGCUUGCUUUCGAUACGGGCAGACUGGAGGUAUGCAGGGGAGAACGGAAUUCCUGGUGUAGCGGUGGAAUGCGCAGAUAUCAGGAGGAACACCGAUGGCGAAGGAAGGUCUCUGGGCCAUAACUGACGCUGAGAAGCGAAAGCAUGGGGAGCGAACAGG
rnacentral:rRNA from 1 species